rnacentral:sRNA from 1 species
UGGGUAGGAAAUUGCCCCGGUGGAAUGCCUCACCAGAGAAGCAGGUAGCAGGCCCUCACAGAGGAUUAACACAGUGGCUGAACACCAGGAAGGAACUGGCACUUGGAGUCCAGACAUCUAAAAUUUGGAAAUGAAAGCAUUUGUCCAGAUCUCUGGCAAAGAUGGCACUGUGGUGUUUUCUCUGGGGCCAGUUGUGCAAAACCUUAUAGAAGAGAAGGCUGAUCUCAUUGCUUCAAACUUGGCCCAGAUUCAACAGAAGGAAGACCCACUACAUUAUCUGAGACAAUGGGGAAAGCUGACGUAUGGCUUAUUCGAAACUCCUGGAAUUUUCAGUUUCCAUAUCCACUCUUACCAAAUGUUGAUUUUGUUGGAGGACUCCACUGCAAACCUGCCAAACCCCUGCCUAAGGAAAUGGAAGACUUUGUACAGAGCUCUGGAGAAAAUGGUGUUGUGGUGUUUUCUCUGGGGUCAAUGGUCAGUAACAUGACAGAAGAAAGGGCCAACGUAAUUGCAUCAGCCCUUGCCCAGAUCCCACAAAAGGUUCUGUGGAGAUUUGAUGGGAAUAAACCAGAUACCUUAGGUCUCAAUACUCGGCUCUACAAGUGGAUACCCCAGAAUGACCUUCUAGAUAUAAAGAGAAUGUUAUGAAAUUAUCAAGAAUUCAACAUGAUCAACCAGUGAAGCCCCUGGAUCGAGCAGUCUUCUGGAUUGAAUUUGUCAUGCGCCACAAAGGAGCUAAACACC